rnacentral:lncRNA from 1 species
GAGAAAAUGGCCACGGCACUCGCUGCCGCCGGCUCCGGUCCAUGCGCGCGCCCUGCGCCGGGCUGUACCGCGGCCAGAACGCCCUAUAGGCACGGUAACGCGCAGUGGCACCGUGCCACCCCGCGCCGAGUGCCGGGGCAGGGAGAAGCUCACAGCAGGGCCAGCCCGCGCCCCCCCCGUCCUCCAGAGAGACCGUGGAGCUGCCAGCACCGCCAGCACCUCGUGCCACUGCCGCCCGUGGGCAUCGUGCGCCCCGCAGGGGGGUUUCCUAUAGGAAGGAGCGUGCCGGGCGUUAUCACCCCGCUAUAGGGGCGGUGAUGCGUGCGGCCCCGCCAGGGCUCAGCAGGGAGCUGCCGCACGGCGUGGCCGCUAUAGCAGACGGGGAUCGGUGCUGCCAGCCCCUAUAAGCACCGCGCAGCCUGCACAGCCACGGGGCCCAGCGGCAGGAGGUGCUGCUAUAGGUGCCGCUAUAGGUGCCACUCCCCGUGCCGUUAUCUGUGCCGCAGCAGCCACAGCCAGCUCCUGGCGCGCGCCCGACGCUGGAGCUAUAGGGGAUGGUGGCAGCGGCCCAAAACCGCCCCGAAUUGGGCUCAAAAAAAAAAGAGAACUGGGGCGGGAGAGCGGGGCGCAGGUGUGCACGUGUCCGUGAGCACGCAGGCGUGCAAGCACACGCGUGCAGGAGGCACACAGGGCCGGCGUGCACACGCAUGGGAGCGUGCUGCAGCAGCGGGCACGCGCACAGCACCGCCGAUCCCGCGAGGCCGUCGUGCACGUGCACGCGCGUGUGCAGCCGUGUGCACGCGCCAGGCAGCAGUUGGUGGCGCGGAGCCUGGCGGCAAUGCCGGCGGCGGUGGCGGCCUGGAGGCACGAGCGGGCGGAGGCUCGGGAGCGGAGCCUGCGGGAGGCCGCCCGGAGGCAGCGGCUGCUGGCGGAGGCAGGGGCGCGCCUGGGGGCCCCCCCCCGUGCCGGAGACCCCCGGGCCCAAGCGCUGCUGCAGGAGCUGGAGCGGGACGAACGGCGCCGGGAGAAGCGGCAGCGGCGGCAGGAGCGGGAAGAGGCUGCCCGCAGUGCCCUGGCCGCCGCCGAGGCCGCCGCCGCCUCUCAGCGCCCCCCCCCCAGUGGGAGCAGGGUGGGGGAGGCCCCCCUGGAGCGCUCGUGAACAGAGACUUCCCCCCCCCCCAAAAAAAAACACAAAAACCAAAACAAAACCAGGGGUGUUCUCCCAAAAAAAGGAGUUGUUUCCCCAAAAUCGCUAGGAGGGUGCUGGGCUGACUGCCCCCCCUGCCCAAAAGACCUUGUUUUUCCC